ensembl:lncRNA
GCUUAAAUGAGGUUAUUGUUACAAUAAAGCUUUGACUUUGGGAAAAAUGAUAUUUUAUAGGAUUAGCAAUACAAUAGAAGGAACGUGGUCCCUGAUCAACUUUUUGUAAAGGUGUGACUCAGUUUGAAAGACUGGCUACUGCCUUCUGUGAGAAAGAAGUCUGGAAAUUGACCUGUAUGGAAUAUAUCAGUAGAUUUCCUAUGUGCUCAGCUUCCUGUUGGGUGCCAGUUCUCCACUGAAGAGCAAUGAAGGGAGACAGAAAUGAGGGACCAGAGUAAGACAGAAAGCCAGUAGGAAAAUACCAAGAAGUGUGAGAAGCACACAGGAAAACUUCAAAACAUGCUAAACAUCAUGGAGGCCUGGAUGCAGAACAGAAAUGUAAAAUUGUGAAAGGCCCAGAAAUUCACUCUUACAGUUUGAAUUUUAAGAAAGUAACACUUAAAAAAUUCAAGAAUCAAACUUUCAACAUAAUACCUAUGAGAAAGUCUUCUUUAAAACAUAACAUUGGCUGGGAAAUGAUUUCAAAGGCAAAGGUUAUACCUGAAGUCAAACAACGCAAGCAUGUCAUACAUAGCUGGAGGAUCCAGUAGCUGCUCAUUCCAACAAGAUUAUGGCCUCAAAACAAGAGGGAUCAAGGAUGCAGCAGCAGUCCAAGGUUAAAGGC